UACGUAGGCAGCAAGCGUUGUUCGGAGUUACUGGGCGUAAAGAGUGCGUAGGUGGUGCCCUAAGUCUGUUGUGAAAUCUCCCGGCUUAACUGGGAGGGUGCGGUGGAAACUGGGGUGCUUGAGUGUGGGAGAGGUAAGCGGAAUUCCUGGUAUAGCGGUGAAAUGCGUAGAUAUCAGGAGGAACACCGGUGGUGUAGACGGCUUACUGGACCACGACUGACACUGAGGCACGAAAGCGUGGGUAGCAAACAGG
rnacentral:rRNA from 1 species